UCGGGAUACAGAGUACGAACAGAGCAUGGCAAAACAGUCUAAAGGAAUCAAGCAGUGUCUUGAGAGAUAUAUGAGUUCUAAGGUCAGCGUGCCUGUUAACAGCUUGGCUGGAGACUAUGAACAGAGUGUGGUGAUACCAGUUGGACAUUUGAAGAACCUGAACCGUGGUACAAGAGCAAAGUUCAGGAGACAUGCACCAGUGAUGAUGUGGUCAAUCAGAGCCCUGUGAGAGGAAUGUGCACAAAGGACAGCAUCCAGGACAAUGAAACAAAAAUCAAAUCAGCAAGGUUGCCAGGUCAGUGAAGGACGGAGUUUGUUGAAACGUGUGGCUACAUGGCAAGAUGUACACAUGUAUUGUACUGAUUUGGCAAGAUCAAUGUCUUUGUCUAAUAAUGAGCAGUUUGAAAUUACAGGUGUAUCUGUAUGGCUGGAUGAUGAGGUAAGGCAAGAUGCUGAUGAUUGUAAAGAGGAGACGGAGCAAUUGUUUUUGGGAAGUAGUGAUCACAGUAAAGGAGAAGGCAAUGAAGGAAGUAGUGGUUCUAGAGAAGUUCCUGGUUCUUGUAGCAGUUUGCCAAGUACAUGUAGUGAUCUGCCAAAUAAGAAGAAGGAAGGUCAGAAACCUAGUUUCAAUGAAAUGAGUUGUAAUAAAGUUGAUAAUGGUAGUGAUGUUGAAAUCAAGGAAGUAAGACAAA